GCGGCGGACGGGUGAGUAAUGCCUAGGAAUCUGCCUAGUAGUGGGGGAUAACGUCCGGAAACGGGCGCUAAUACCGCAUACGUCCUACGGGAGAAAGUGGGGGAUCUUCGGACCUCACGCUAUUAGAUGAGCCUAGGUCGGAUUAGCUAGUUGGUGAGGUAAUGGCUCACCAAGGCGACGAUCCGUAACUGGUCUGAGAGGAUGAUCAGUCACACUGGAACUGAGACACGGUCCAGACUCCUACGGGAGGCAGCAGUGGGGAAUAUUGGACAAUGGGCGAAAGCCUGAUCCAGCCAUGCCGCGUGUGUGAAGAAGGUCUUCGGAUUGUAAAGCACUUUAAGUUGGGAGGAAGGGCAGUUACCUAAUACGUGAUUGUUUUGACGUUACCGACAGAAUAAGCACCGGCUAACUCUGUGCCAGCAGCCGCGGUAAUAC
rnacentral:rRNA from 1 species